rnacentral:lncRNA from 1 species
GCGGGAGUUUGACGUCACAGAUUUGACCAACAUCUGUGAUGUAGUAAUUAAAUAUAGACAAAGCUCCGCCUCCCUCCAGACAGUCUAAGAUAAGAGAAUAACAGGAAUAACCAGCUGCAUAUAAACAAUUUUUAACACUAUUAAAUUCAUUAUUAAGAAUGAUUUCAUUUGUAUUUUAAAAAGAAAUAUACUAUGAAAUUAGC